rnacentral:lncRNA from 1 species
UUCGAUCCUGCUGUGUGUUAUUCAUUUAUUUUCCAGUUUGUUUCUUCCUUUUUUUUCUAACUUUCUAUUUAUUUUAUUAUUUUUACCAUUUCAUUUUUUCUAAUGUUAUUUUAUUUUUAAUCAUUUAUAUCUUAUAUAUAUAUUCUUCUUUUAUUAUUUUAUUUUUUUAUUUCAUUUUGUUCUCACUUUUCAACUUUAGCUUUUAUUCUUUCGCCGCUAUUUUAUUUUUAUUUGUUAAACAUCGAUUUUAAUUUAUGGAUUCAACCAUUUCCAUGUUGUUUAUCCAUGAUUUAUUUUUGUUGAUAUAU